GACGAACGCUGGCGGCGUGCCUAAUACAUGCAAGUAGAACGCUGAAGAGAGGAGCUUCCUCUUCUUGGAUGAGUUGCGAACGGGUGAGUAACGCGUAGGUAACCUGCCUUGUAGCGGGGGAUAACUAUUGGAAACGAUAGCUAAUACCGCAUAACAAUGGAUGACACAUGUCAUUUAUUUGAAAGGGGCAAUUGCUCCACUACAAGAUGGACCUGCGUUGUAUUAGCUAGUAGGUGAGGUAAUGGCUCACCUAGGCGACGAUACAUAGCCGACCUGAGAGGGUGAUCGGCCACACUGGGACUGGGACACGGGCCAGACUCCUACGGGAGGCAGCAGUAGGGAAUCUUCGGCAAUGGGGGCAACCCUGACCGAGCAACGCCGCGUGAGUGAAGAAGGUUUUCGGAUCGUAAAGCUCUGUUGUAAGUCAAGAACGGGUGUGAGAGUGGAAAGUUCACACUGUGACGGUAGCUUACCAGAAAGGGACGGCUAACUACGUG
rnacentral:rRNA from 1 species